rnacentral:lncRNA from 1 species
AUGGGGGGCUAAGAAGGCCCACCUAAACUAUUUCAUUUCUUCAAAUUGGGGUUACAAGAUCAAGCAACCUCCCUCAUCAGCUAGGACGGUGAUCAAGGUACAAUUUGAGAACAAAGAUUAUAGAGUCACAAAGGAUUACAAUCGCAGCACACAUAGGAUCGAACCACCAUGGAGCACUCUUGCUUGCCAGUUUUGCACCGAGGAACACCGGUGCGCGGCACGAAUACAUCCCCUUCACAUGCAAACGACAAGCACCUUUUGUAGCCCAACUCAUAGCAAGGAGCUAGGCUGACAACGGGUGAGGGUAGCCUCGAACAGAAGCACUCUUCACUGCAAGCUGGGUAACCAAGACCAGAGGUUGGUCAUGGUGGCCCGCAUCAGGCCACAAACUUCUCCGGGUGCCAACCAAUUCACAUGAAGCAUUUAGGCAAGCAUGGUCUAUAUAUUGUUCCGUAGCAUUCGACCAUUAGGCGUGGGCCAUGUAUAGAAGGUGGCAAUGUCCUGGCAUGGAAAAAAACAUUUAUUAUAUCUAACAGUAACAUAUUGGUGUUGCUGAACCUGUUGAUAUGCGCAUACCAUAUAUAUUAGUCUUGCGUUAAAGCUGAACAAACAUCACUCUGACACUGAACAGAUUAAUCAGGCACAAUACCACAAUACAUGCAUCCUCGUUGUCACCAAGCUUAAAUUAAGGUAAGGAGCUCUGUCCAUCUGCUGAUUAACUUUAGUCCCAGAAAUCCUGAAAAUUUUGCGUGUUUUCCCAACCAGCACAUAGGCUCGUCGGCCUUUAAUUUUGUAUGAGAACCUGGCCGGUUCUCCCAAAGCUAUAUAUGUGCA